rnacentral:rRNA from 1 species
GCUAAGUGGGUGUGAGGUGGCGCGGUAAUAAGGGGGUGGUAAGCGGUGGCCGGAUUUAUUGGGUUUAAAGGGUGGGUAGGCGGCCUUAGAAGUCAGUGCUGAAAGAUCCCGGCUUAACCGGGAGGGUGGCAUUGAUACUGCAAGGCUUGAGUGUAGUCGAGGUAGGCGGAAUUGACGGUGUAGCGGUGAAAUGCUUAGAUAUCGUCAAGAACACCGAUAGUGUAGACAGCUUACUAGGCUACAACUGACGCUGAGGCACGAAAGUGUGGGGAUCAAACAGGAUUAGAUACCCUGGUAGUC